rnacentral:rRNA from 1 species
UACGUAGGGUGCGAGCGUUAAUCGGAAUUACUGGGCGUAAAGCGUGCGCAGGCGGCUUUGCAAGUCAGAGGUGAAAUCCCCGGGCUCAACCUGGGAACUGCCUUUGUGACUGCAAGGCUAGAGUACGGCAGAGGGGGAUGGAAUUCCGCGUGUAGCAGUGAAAUGCGUAGAUAUGCGGAGGAACACCGAUGGCGAAGGCAAUCCCCUGGGCCUGUACUGACGCUCAUGCACGAAAGCGUGGGGAGCAAACAGG